rnacentral:tRNA from 1 species
GCAGUCGUGGCCGAGUGGUUAAAGCGAUGGACUAGAAAUCCAAUGGGGAGACCCCAAUGGAUUUCCUGUCGACUGCA